GACGAACGCUGGCGGCGUGCUUAACACAUGCAAGUCGAACGAAAUGGCGAACGGGUGAGUAACGCGUAAUCAAACUGCCCUUCAGAGGGGGACAACAGUUGGAAACGACUGCUAAUACCGCAUACUGAAGGAGGGGAUUGCGUCUGAUUAGCUAGUUGGAGGGGUAACGGCCCACCAAGGCGAUGAUCAGUAGCAGGUAUGAGACGAUGAACGGACACAUUGGGACUGGGACACGGCCCAUACUCCUACGGGAGGCAGCAGUAGGGAAUCUUACGCAAUGGACGAAAGUCUGACGGAGCAACGCAGCGUGAGUGAUGACGGCCUUCGGGUUGUAUAGCUCUGUUAAUCGGGACGCGGUACCGGAAUAGAAAGCCACGGCUAACUACGUGCCAGCAGCCGCGGUAAUUC
rnacentral:rRNA from 1 species